rnacentral:lncRNA from 1 species
CAUCACGCUAGAAGCUGGCGCUUCUGGGAAAGAGGGCAAUGAGUCGGUGGUUUUUUAGAGGCCUGGCCGCUAUCCUGUAAAACGCUUUUGUAGCUUAUUUCAUCACAUUUUUUCUGAUGCCGCUAUAUUGACAGUGUGUACCUUUCUUUCAGAAUCUAUAGAGAAGAACAGCGACGUCCGAUGGGAUCUUGGAAGGUUGCCGGGAAUGUGCAGAUCGGCAAUUGCACCUUAAUACGGACAUACGAAAUCUUUCAGGAGGAAGACAUUGGGAACUUGUUCUCAUUUAGGUGGCUACCAGUGGUUUGAUUGCAGCCAGGAGAGCCAGUGAUUUGGGCUCUGGAACGGGAGCUGAAUUGGUCCUGUACCUUCAGGAAUGGCUUCUCCAGAUUCAACCCUUAUUCAAGAUGGCUGAAGUUGAUGACAGUCUGAUCUCUGAAAAUUAA